UACAGAGGUGGCAAGCGUUGUUCGGAAUUACUGGGCGUAAAGGGCGCGUAGGCGGCCUGGUCAGUCCCGUGUGAAAUCCCUCGGCUCAACUGAGGAACUGCACGGGAAACUGCCUGGCUUGAGUUCGGGAGAGGGAAGCGGAAUUCCGGGUGUAGCGGUGAAAUGCGUAGAUAUCCGGAGGAACACCGGUGGCGAAGGCGGCUUCCUGGACCGACACUGACGCUGAGGCGCGAAAGCUAGGGGAGCAAACGGG
rnacentral:rRNA from 2 species